rnacentral:rRNA from 1 species
UGUAAGCGUAUACCAAAGUUGUUGCAGUUAAAACGCUCGUAGUCGGAAUUUGGCAGUUCCGGAUGUGUGCACGUCGUGUGCGCACUUCGCGGGGAUUGCUUUUGUGGUCCUGCGUAGGAUGAGGCACUUUUAUUAGUGAACGUCCUCACGCAACCACUUUUUACUGUGAGAAAAUCAGAGUGCUCAAAGCAGGCAUUUGCCGUGAAUGUAUUAGCAUGGAAUAAUAGAAUAGGACUUGGUUCUAUUUUGUUGGUUUGUUGGGACUGAGUAAUGAUUAAGAGGGGCAGUUGGGGGCAUUUGUAUUUCGGUGCUAGAGGUGAAAUUCUUAGAUUACCGAAAGACAAACUGCUGCGAAAGCGUCUGCCAAGGAUGUUUUCAUUGA